GGAAUUUUCCGCAAUGGGCGAAAGCCUGACGGAGCAACGCCGCGUGAGGGAUGAAGGCCUCUGGGCUGUAAACCUCUUUUAUCAAGGAAGAAGAUCUGACGGUACUUGAUGAAUAAGCCACGGCUAAUUCCGUGCCAACAGCCGCGGUAAUACGGGAGUGGCAAGCGUUAUCCGGAAUUAUUGGGCGUAAAGCGUCCGCAGGCGGUCUUUUAAGUCUGCUGUUAAAGCGUGGAGCUUAACUCCAUUUCGGCAGUGGAAACUGGAAGACUAGAGUGUGGUAGGGGCAGAGGGAAUUCCCGAUGUAGCGGUGAAAUGCGUAGAUAUCGGGAAGAACACCAGUGGCGAAGGCGCUCUGCUGGGCCAUAACUGACGCUCAUGGACGAAAGCCAGGGGAGCGAAAGGGAUUAGAUACCCCUGUAGUC
rnacentral:rRNA from 1 species